rnacentral:rRNA from 1 species
GACGAACGCUGGCGGCGUGCUUAACACAUGCAAGUCGAACGGUAAGGCCCUUCGGGGUACACGAGUGGCGAACGGGUGAGUAACACGUGGGUGAUCUGCCCUGCACUUCGGGAUAAGCCUGGGAAACUGGGUCUAAUACCGGAUAGGACUCCGGACUGCAUGGUCUGGGGUGGAAAGCUUUUGCGGUGUGGGAUGGGCCCGCGGCCUAUCAGCUUGUUGGUGGGGUGAUGGCCUACCAAGGCGACGACGGGUAGCCGGCCGGAGAGGGUGACCGGCCACACUGGGACUGAGAUACGGCCCAGACUCCUACGGGAGGAAGCAGUGGGGAAUAUUGCACAAUGGGCGCAAGCCUGAUGCAGCGACGCCGCGUGAGGGAUGACGGCCUUCGGGUUGUAAACCUCUUUCAGCACCGACGAAGCGCAAGUGACGGUAGGUGCAGAAGAAGGACCGGCCAACUACGUGCCAGCAGCCGCCGCCG